rnacentral:lncRNA from 1 species
AGAAAUCUUACGAGCAUGGUAUCUAUAGUGCAGCUUGUUGUUAUUAUUAAACAUAUGGACUGUUUGUCCAAUGACACAUGUAGAUGUAGAAAUGUAGAAGCUUAUAGGCAAGAUCUCUUUAUGCAGAUGCGUAAACUUAUAAGCAGAAUUUUCUAUAGAAGUGCAGAAAAAUUUCUUAGGCGCGAUUCUAUAUGCAGAGGUGCAGAAAAAUUUAUUGGCAUGAUUUCUAUAUGCAGAAUCGCAAAAAGAACUUAUAGGCAUGUUUUCUAUAUGCAUAUGUAUAAGGUUAUGAACAUUAUUGCUAUAUGAUACAUAGUGAAAGUGCAUAAAUUCAGAGAUAAACCAUAUAGGAAGGAUAUCUAUCCUUAUGCAUACAUAAAGUAACCCCUCCCCCCUUCUUUACUAGUACCCCAUAAGUUUUACAAAUUAUUACAGACCAAAUGAAUCAAAGUGGAAAAAAAAUUACAUAAAAAAUCUAAGACGCAUCCAAGGAUCAAGAUUUCCAAGGCCUCUCGCGUAUCUGGAGUGCAUCAAAAUUCCAAGGAGUCUCAAGGACCCCAGGCAAUGCUUACACCCAGAUAUCAUUAUAGAAUUGAAUUAAGGUGCAGUGUGAAAGUGCCAGCCCUCCAAUAUCCAAGUUCAUAGGAAGCUCAAGGUCCCAAGGCGAUGCUCAUUGGAGUGGGGCAGAACAUAGAAUCUAGGAACGAGUGUAACUACAACAGAGGGAAUUAGAAGAUGCCAAGGUAUGUUGGUGGUCAUGCCCUGCAACGUGGAGUGCUAGCAUACCCCUGACAAGCAUGUUGGCCAAAUUGGAGAGUUAGGAGCUAUUGAAGGUCAAGCCCUAGCCUGGGCAGUAAUUAGAAUACUAUCAGUCAAAUGCUUUUACUCAGCACAUAGAAAGGGAUCGGGGAUAGGAAAUUUAAAGAGCUUAGGACCCAAAAGUGUCCAG